CCUACGGGAGGCAGCAGUAGGGAAUAUUGGUCAAUGGACGAAAGUCUGAACCAGCCAUCCCGCGUGCAGGACGACGGCCCUAUGGGUUGUAAACUGCUUUUAUACAGGAAGAAUAAGCCUUACGUGUAAGGUGAUGACGGUACUGUAAGAAUAAGGAUCGGCUAACUCCGUGCCAGCAGCCGCGGUAAUACGGAGGAUCCAAGCGUUGUCCGGAUUUAUUGGGUUUAAAGGGUGCGUAGGCGGUUUGUUAAGUCAGUGGUGAAAGUUUGCGGCUUAACCGUAAAAUUGCCAUUGAAACUGACGGACUUGAAUUUGGUUGAGGUUGCCGGAAUGUGUCAUGUAGCGGUGAAAUGCUUAGAUAUGAUACAGAACACCAAUUGCGAAGGCAGGUAACUAAACCAAUAUUGACGCUGAGGCACGAAAGCGUGGGGAUCAAACAGGAUUAGAUACCCUGGUAGUCCACGCCCUAAACGUUGAUUACUCGUUGUUGGCGAUACACUGUCAGCGACUAAGCGAAAGCGUUAAGUAAUCCACCUGGGGAGUACGACCGCAAGGUUGAAACUCAAAGGAAUUGACGG
rnacentral:rRNA from 1 species